rnacentral:rRNA from 1 species
GACGGAGGGUGCAAGCGUUGUUCGGAAUUACUGGGCGUAAAGGGCGCGUAGGCGGUCUGUUAAGUUCGGUGUGAAAGCCCCCGGCUCACCUGGGGAACUGCGCCGGAAACCGACAGACCCGAGUACCGGAGAGGAGGGUGGAAUUCCUGGUGUAGCGGUGAAAUGCGUAGAUAUCAGGAGGAACACCGGUGGCGAAGGCGGCAUCCUGGACCGGCAUUGACGCUGAGGAGCGAAAGCCAGGGGAGCAAACGGG